UACGAAGGGGGCUAGCGUUGUUCGGAAUUACUGGGCGUAAAGCGCGCGCAGGCGGCUAUCCAAGUCAGUGGUGAAAGCCCGGAGCUCAACUCCGGAACUGCCAUUGAAACUGUUUAGCUUGAGGACGAGAGAGGUGAGUGGAAUUCCCAGUGUAGAGGUGAAAUUCGUAGAUAUUCGCAAGAACACCAGUGGCGAAGGCGGCUCACUGGCCCGUUACUGACGCUGAGGCACGAAAGCGUGGGGAGCAAACAGG
rnacentral:rRNA from 1 species